UGCGUAGGUGGCGUGGUAAGUGGGGUGUGAAAUCCCGAGGCUUAACCUCGGGACUGCAUUCCAUACUGCCGUGCUUGAGGACUGGAGAGGAGACUGGAAUUUACGGUGUAGCAGUGAAAUGCGUAGAGAUCGUAAGGAAGACCAGUGGCGAAGGCGGGUCUCUGGACAGUUCCUGACACUGAGGCACGAAGGCCAGGGGAGCAAACG
rnacentral:rRNA from 1 species